ensembl:lncRNA
GGGAGGUUGUGCGGAGGGAGCGGGGCGCCCACGAUGGGUCCGCAGAAGGUGGCAGGGCUGCAGCCCAGGGGCGGGGGCGCUGCCUUCUAAUUCACAGCAGUUCAGGGAGCACUGGUUGGGGGGUAGGUUCGGAAUGGCUCUAGGACAGCGCCCGCCGUAGGAUAGAGGAAGUAGACACUGACGGACCCCCUUAUAUGUUCUGGGGACCGCUCUACUGAGAAACAUGAGCCCCCAGCCCAGGUUCCUGGCACACUGCAGGUGCUCCAAGAGCUUUGUGAAGGAGGAAGACGGACAAGGGACAAGCUGCCGACGAGUGAUCUCCCGAAGAUGGCUGCACCAUCUCCUGGGUGCCAGGACAGGAGAAGGCACACAUGUCAUCAUCUGGCUCCAGGAGGAAGGCCGCGGUCUGUCAGGACAGGGGUGCUGGGCUGGACAGGGGUGCUCGGCCAGAGUGGCCAUGCAGCCCGCUCCCUUCCAGCCACUUCCAGACCCACCAUCCGAUACAGGCGCCGAGGGAGCACACAGUUGUGGAAACAGAGUCUGCAAGGGCCCCUGCAGAGCACCUUCGUGUGUUCCCGUCACCCCUCAGAACAACUUCCGAGGGGGCUCUGUGAUGAUGGACAAGCCAGGACAGGGAAGCAGAGGUGCAGAGCAAGUCUACGCAGGCGGACGAGGGGCGGAGCGGGGAUUUGCCCGCAGGCAGUCUGACUUGGCCAUUUGCGGAUCUGGAUCUCUGCUCUGCCAAAUACACGCUGUCUACACUGGGUAAUUACUUGACCUCUCUAGGGCACACGGCUCUGUGAUAUCAAUGAUUGCAUGUUUACGGCACUUAGCACCUCAGAUGGCACAGAAACGCCGGGCACUGGCCAUCACUCUUCUGCCAGUUGGAAAUGAACUUCAGACGGUAGCUUCCGCUCGCGGACAGUGGCCACCUGCUCUCGUUCUCUGCUUCUUCCUCUGCCAUUCUCUGCUUCUUCCUCUGCCGCGGACCUGGGUACCCGCCCCUCCCGCUGCAGGGAACCCUGGCCUCUCCUGCAGGUGUACCCACCCCUGCACUCUCACACCAGGCAGGAGUGCGGCCGGCAAGGCUGGCCACUCCAUCCAGCUUGCUCACGGGCUCCAGCCCUGGCCCUAGAGACUUCCUGAGCAGAUCCACUCGAGUGCACACACCCCAGCCUGGCAGCCGGCUGCCACCCGGCAGGAUCCCCAGGCCUCAGAGGUGGGGAUAGGACCAGGUGACAAGGGGCAGGCUGGGACACUACUGGCAGCCGGGCUGGAGGGGCUGGAGGCUCCACCUCCCCCCUCCCGCCCCCUCCCCCUUCCCUUCCCCCUCAGCAGAUCACAG